ensembl:lncRNA
CCCAUAGCGACACCCAGCCCCAUAGCGACCCCCAGCCCCAUAGCGACUCUGAGCCCCAUAGCGACUCUGAGCCCCAUAGCAACCCCCAGCCCCAUAGCGACCCCCAGCCCCAUAGCGACUCCCACCCCACAAGUGACUCCCAGCCCCAUAGCGAGACCCAUAAGUGACUCUAAGCCCUAUAAGUGACUCCUCAGCCCUAUAAGUGAACCCUCUGCCCCAUAAGUGAACCCUCUGCCCUAUAAGUGAACCCUCUGCCCCAUAGAGAGACCCACAAGUGGUCCCUCUGCCCCAUAAGUGACCCCUCUGCCCCACAAGUGACCCCUCUGCCCCAUAAGUGACCCCUCUGCCCCAUAAGUGACUCCUCUGCCCCAUAAGUGACCCCUCUGCCCCAUAAGUGACUCCUGUACCCUACAAGUGACUCCUCUGCCCCAUUGGGAGACCCAUAAGUGACUCUCAGCCCCAUAGUGAGACCCACAAGUGGUCUCUCAGCCCCAUAAGUGACUCCUCUGCCCCACAAGUGCCCCCCCAGCUGAGCCCUGUGGGGCUGCCCCACACUCCGCCCCACAAGUGCCUCCAGCCCCACAGAAAUAAAGGUGCUCUCAAUGGAUACAGGCCCCAUUGAUGGGGGGGGAGGAAGUGGGGAGGGGUGGGUGGGGUCUCUAUGGGUCUCUAUGGGUCCCUAUGGGUCCCUAUGGGUCUCUAUGGGUCUCUAUGGGUCCCUAUGGGUCCCUAUGGGUCCCUAUGGGUCCCUAUGGGUCGCUAUGGGGUCUCUAUGGGUCCUUAUGUUCCCCUAUAGGGUCCCUAUGUGUCUCUAUGGGUCCCUAUGGGUCCCUAUUGGCCUCUAUGGGUCUCUAUGUGUCCUUAUGGGUCCCUAUGGGUCCCUAUGUGUCUCUAUGGGGUCCCUAUGGGUCUCUAUUGGUCCCUAUGUGUCUCUAUGGGUCCUAAUGUCCCCCUAUGGGUCUCUAUGGGGUCUCUAUGUGUCUCUAUGGGUCUCUAUGGGUCUCUAAGGGUCCCUAUGGGUUUCUAUGGGUCCCUAUGGGUCUCUAUGUGUCUCUGUGGGUCCCUAUGGUUCUCUAUGGCCCCAUAGAUCUCUGUACCCGGUCUCCCCUCAUCAAUAUUCAAUUGACAGUAAUCAAUAUUAAUGAAUCUAUCAAUAUUUAUGAGCUGCUUCUCGCGGUCCUCAUUAAUAUUCAUAAGCGACCGCAGCGGUUCCAUUGUGGUGAAUGAAAGGGGGGGGGGAGCAGUAUUUUUCUGCCCCAAAAUGGCCGAAAAAGCCGCUUUUUUAACAAAAAAAAGACUCAAAUAGGUCAGAAAAUGAUAAAAAAUGCAUUUCUGGAGGAAUUUGGGCCCAAAAUGGACCAAAAUCGGCGGAUUUUACCUCAAAAAUGGGCGAGAUUUUCCCCUUCAGCGCCGCGCAGUUGAGGCGAUCCGAGGGGACAAAAUGGCGGCGGCAAGAUGGCGGCCACGGCGAGGAGCGGGAAAAUGGGGUAAAAAAGGGCAAAAUUGGGGCUUUUUUGUGGUAAAAAUGGUGGUUUUUGGACAGUUUGGGGUGUGGGGAGGGAAAUUUGGGGGAAAAAAGUGGAAAUUCGGGGUUUUUACGUGAAAUUUUGAGGUUUUUAGGGGGUAAAAUGGGGGUGGUGGAGAGGUUACCUCAGGGAGGGGGACGGGGGAAAAUUGGGGUAAAAAUGGGCAAAAUUGGGGUUUUUUGUGGUAAAAAUGGUGGUUUUUGGAUAUUUUGGGGUGUGGGAGAUUAAUUUUGGGGAGAAAAAGUGAAAUUUUUGGGUUUUUAGGUGAAAUUUUGGGGUUUUUAGGUGGGAAAAUGGGGUUAAAAAGGGGUAAAAUGGGGGUGGUGGAGAGGUUACCUCAGGGAGGGGGACUGAGGAAAAUUGGGGUAAAAAAGGGCAAAAUUGGGACAUUUUGUGGUAAAAAUGGUGGUUUUUGGACAUUUUGGGGUGUGGGAGAUUAAAUUUUGGGGGGGAAAAGUGAAAUUUUGGGGUUUUUAGGUGA